UACGAGUGCCCCAAGCGUUAUCCGGAUUCAUUGGGCGUAAAGGGUGCGUAGGCGGCGCGGUAAGUCGGGUGUGAAAUCUCGGGGCUUAACUCCGAAACUGCAUUCGAUACUGCCGUGCUUGAGGACUGGAGAGGAGACUGGAAUUUACGGUGUAGCGGUGAAAUGCGUAGAUAUCGUAAGGAAGACCAGUGGCGAAGGCGGGUCUCUGGACAGUUCCUGA
rnacentral:rRNA from 1 species